rnacentral:rRNA from 1 species
UGGGGAAUAUUGGACAAUGGGCGCAAGCCUGAUCCAGCCAUGCCGCGUGGGUGAAGAAGGCCUUCGGGUUGUAAGGCCCUUUUGUUGGGAAAGAAAUCCUGUCGGCUAAUACCCGGCGGGGAUGACGGUACCCAAAGAAUAAGCACCGGCUAACUACGUGCCAGCAGCCGCGGUAAUACGUAGGGUGCGAGCGUUAAUCGGAAUUACUGGGCGUAAAGCGUGCGCAGGCGGCUUUGUAAGACAGAUGUGAAAUCCCCGGGCUCGACCUGGGAACUGCAUUUGUGACUGCAAGGCUAUAUGGCGUCAGAGGGUGGUGGAAUUCCGCGUGUAGCAGUGAAAUGCGUAGAGAUGCGGAGGAACACCGAUGGCGAAGGCAGCCUCCUGGGAUGACACUGACGCUCAUGAACGAAAGCGUGGGGAGCAAA